AGCUUUGCAUAGUGGUAGUACUGUAGCCAUUGAAGUUUUUCAGAGGUGUGAUUAUUGCUAAUUGAAAACAGGGAAACGAAGCUCCUGUCCUGUUUAAUCUGUAUAAAUGUAAUUUGUACUUGAGCCCCUUUACUGGG
rnacentral:snRNA from 1 species